AGCGAACGCUGGCGGCAGGCUUAACACAUGCAAGUCGAGCGGGCCCUUCGGGGUCAGCGGCGGACGGGUGAGUAACGCGUGGGAACGUGCCUUCUGGUCUGGAAUAACCCUGGGAAACUAGGGCUAAUACCGGAUACGCCCUUUUGGGGAAAGGUUUACUGCCGGAAGAUCGGCCCGCGUCUGAUUAGCUAGUUGGUGGGGUAACGGCCUACCAAGGCGACGAUCAGUAGCUGGUCUGAGAGGAUGAUCAGCCACACUGGGACUGAGACACGGCCCAGACUCCUACGGGAGGUAGCAGUGGGGAAUAUUGGACAAUGGGCGCAAGCCUGAUCCAGCCAUGCCGCGUGAGUGAUGAAGGCCUUAGGGUUGUAAAGCUCUUUUAUCCGGGAUGAUAAUGACGGUACCGGAGGAAUAAGCCCCGGCUAACUUCGUG
rnacentral:rRNA from 1 species